AUGAACGCUGGCGGCGUGCCUUAGGCAUGCAAGUCGUAUGGGUCCGACGCAAGUCGGACCAAUGGCGGACGGGUGAGUAACGAGUGAGAAUCUACCUUGAAGUGGGACAUAGCCCUCCGAAAGGAGGGGUAAUUUUCCAUAUUAUCGCAAGAUCAAAACCGUAAGGCGCUUUAAGAUGAGCUCGCUUCCUAUCAGCUUGUUGGUGGGGUAAUGGCCUACCAAGGCGACGACGGGUAGCUGGUCUGAGAGGAUGGUCAGCCACAAUGGAACUGAGACACGGUCCAUACACCUACGGGUGGCAGCAACCGGGAAUAUUCGACAAUGGACGAAAGUCUGAUCGAGCGACGCCGCGUGGGGGAUUGAAGGCCUUCGGGUUGUAAACCCCUUUUAUAGAGGAAGAUUAUGACGGUACUUUAUGAAUAAGCACCUGCUAACUACGUGCCAGAAGCCUCGGUAAGACGUAGGGUGCAAGCGUUAUCCGGAUUCAUUGGGCGUAAAGAGUUGCGUAGGCGGUCCGAUAGAUUUUACUUAAAAUACUUUGGCUCAACCACAGUUUCGGUAAAAUAUCAUCGGACUUGAAAGUUCGAGAGGGUACUGGAACCGAUCAUGGAGCAGUGAAAUGCGUUGAUAUGAUCGGGAACACCAAAGGCGUAGGCAGGUACCUAGCGAAUUUUUGACGCUCAGGCACGAAAGCAUGGGGAGCGAAGCAGAUUAGAGACCUGCGUAGUCCAUGCCGUAAACUUUGCCUGCUAGAUACUAGUUUUUAUUAGUGUCGUAAGCUAACGCGUUAAGCAGGCCGCCUGGGGAGUACGAGCGCAAGCUUAAAACUCAAAGGAAUUGACGGGGAGGCGCACAAGCAGUGGAGCGUGUGGUUUAAUUCGAUACAAAGCGAAAAACCUCACCAGGGUUUGACAUGCAACUGCACAGCCUAUGAAAGUAGGCCUUCUUCGAGAGUGUUGCACAGAUGCUGCAUGGCUGUCGUCAGCUCGUGGCGUGAGCUGUACCGUUAAGUCGGGAAACGAGCGCAACCCGCACCGUAUGUUGAAUAGUUCAUGCGGAACAGCCCCUUUUUUAGGGGAGGAAGGCGCGGAUGACGUCAAGUCAGCACGGCUCUUACACCCUGGGCUACACACACCCUACAAUGGCGAAAAACAACGAGUUGCAAACUGGUAACAGUAAGCUAAUCUCUGAAAUUUCGCCUCAGUUCAGAUUGAGGGCUGCAAUUCGCCCUCAUGAAGUCGGAAUUGCUAGUAAUCGCGAAUCAGCAGGUCGCGGUGAAUACGUUCUCGCCUCUUGUACACACCGCCCGUCAAGGCAGCAAAGUUGGGGGCGCCCGAACAUCCUUACAAGGGUGGAAGGCGAAACCAGCGAUGAAGCUU
rnacentral:rRNA from 1 species